AGUGGAUGAGGCACCGCCAGCUCCCGCACGAGCUGCGCGAGAAGGUCCGCCAGUUCGUCCAGUACAAGUGGCUUGCGACCAGGGGAGUCGACGAGGAGUCGAUCCUGCAGUCCCUGCCGGCCGACCUCCGGAGGGACAUCAAGAAGCAUCUGUGCCUGGAUCUCGUGCGCCGGGUGCGGCGCUCGCCUGUAAUUUUCUUGGCUGAGUUGCAGGGCGGGGGGAGGAUCGUCCUCACCUGGUUCGUCUGGAUUCGCAGGUCCCGUUCUUCGCCCAGAUGGACGAUCAGCUGCUGGACGCCAUAUGCGAGCACCUGGUCGCGUCGCUGAGCACCGAGGACACGUUCAUCGUCCGCGAGGGGGACCCGGUGACGGAGAUGCUCUUCAUCAUCCGGGGGAGGCUGGAGAGCUUCACGACCAACGGGG
rnacentral:lncRNA from 1 species